rnacentral:sRNA from 1 species
UGCACCUUCCCCCAGAGCGGUCGGGGGA